rnacentral:rRNA from 1 species
AUGGUGAAUGGUGUUGUUGGUCUUGCCAUAUUGUCUCCUUAUUACCGUAGCAUUCAAAUGUGGCAGUGGAACGUCAAUUGUCAUGGUGAUACCAAAUGGGUGUUGUGCAAGUCCAUUGAAAUGAAUAACAUUCAUGGGAUCCCUCCUGGGGUUAGAGAGAGGCCAGAGUUGGUAUUUAGACUGAGAUAUGCUGAGGAUACUGGUGGUAUAUUUAUAUAUGUGGGCUGGAGUGUCUAUAUUGUUCAACUCAAGUCGAUGCAAUCUUGGAAACUUUGUGAAACCCACUAUGUUAAUGGCCAUCAUCCUUUCAAUAGUUUCUAUAUGCCAGGCACAAUCAUUGCUCGUGGUUAUGUUGGAGCUGAAAUGUUGUGCAGUAGCGAUACAUAG